rnacentral:rRNA from 1 species
CCUACGGGUGGCAGCAGUGAGGAAUAUUGGUCAAUGGGCGCGAGCCUGAACCAGCCAAGUAGCGUGAAGGAUGACGGCCCUACGGGUUGUAAACUGCUUUUAUAAAGGAAUAAAGUGAGGCACGUGUGCCUUUUUGUAUGUACUUUAUGAAUAAGGAUCGGCUAACUCCGUGCCAGCAGCCGCGGUAAUACGGAGGUGGCAAGCGUUGUCCGGAUUUACUGGGGGUAAAGGGCGUGCAGCCGGGAAGACAAGUCAGAUGUGAAAUCCCGCGGCUCAACCGCGGAACUGCAUUUUAAACUGUUUUUCUUGAGUACCGGAGAGGUCAUCGGAAUUCCUUGUGUAGCGGUGAAAUGCUUAGAUAUCAUGAAGAACCCCAGUGGCGAAGGCGGCUUACUGGACGGCAACUGCCGGUGAGGCGCGAAAGCGUGGGGAGCAAACCGGAUUAGAUACCCGAGUAGUC